CAGAGAGGGAUGGGCCUGGCUGCUUAGGAGCUUGAGACCAGAGCUGCAACACGAAGUCCUGGGUUGCUGAACUUGCUUACCUGAGGCUUCUGAAAGGGAUUUCUUCUGGCAGAUUCAGAUGAGUGAUGGGCUACCCGGCUUGACCGCUGGCCCGGAUCCUGGCACACAAAACCUGUGGGAGUAAGGAGACAUGUAAGAAGAAGAGGUUACUCACCUGGUGCAACAACUGUGGUUCUUUAAGAUGCAUCCCCCCACCA